AAAUCAGUGUCGAUUUGACUCAUCUAAUUCACACUUUUAUGUUUAUUGACGUUGUUCAUUUGAAUAUAAACGACAGUGACAAUCGGUGGUUAGCAGUUUCCAGUGAUUUGACAUUUACGAAACUCUGUUAUUUUAUAAUUAAUUACAUCAGCAGACAUUGAUUAGACAUGUUUAAAACACUGCUGUUGUUGAUACUAGGACUGUUUUUGUUGACCAGUUACUUGGAGGCGACUCCAAUUUCCCCACACAAUGACGAGUACAGCCAUAUUUUAAUCAACCGUCCGGUGUUUAACAAAGACAAAUCCAGAAGAACCACAGAUAAUCUAAUAAGAUAAUUCAUAAACAUGUAAUUGUUCAAUAUAAACAACGUUAGUAAUCUCUA